CUCUCAAACGUAAAUAUUAAAUUAAAUUAAAAAAAAAAAAACAAAAAAGAUGGGACAACAAUCACGAUAUGGGCAUAUGAAGUUUUGUGUGGAACCAGAGGCUGACGUUGUCAGUUUACCUAAUUCAGGGUGGCCUACCAUCCCUGUCACGGACUUGUAUAGGGUGUGACAAAGGGAACCACAUGCCCCAAAUGGAGUCACUUCUGCUGGGUCAUGUCACCAAAGCAGGGCACAAUACCUAAGCUCAUACAACUUCAGCACUACCCAGAAAUAUAGUUUCCACUGGUCAGUGAGGAAUUUUGUGGUCAGCACCAAAAGGGUAAUCGGCCACACGAAUAGGUCCUCUGCGUCGCCCAAAGAUGAGGUAUUCCGCUAAUAAGACCUUUUUGUCCCAUAACAAAGUGACCUCGCCUGACAUAAUCCUUUUUCUGUUUAUGAACUUCUUGUUCUACCUUUAAAAACCUUACCCUUUCUCUAGCUCUUUGUUGCUUCCCUUAACUUGCUAGAUGUGAUGCUGCCCAAUGCACAAAUGAGUCACUGAUCCUGAAGACCUUCAAAAUACACUGGGCUGAAUUUUUAUGAUAACGGGGACUUUUGUAUUGUUCCCGACCAAUUGCAAAACUGACUCUAACGCUACAGGCUGCAAGCAUUUGAAGAGCAACAUCUUUCCAGCAGUGCACGGCCUCCUUUGAUUUCUUAAGUGCUGGACACAUUUGAAUGAUGUGUCAUUUACCUCAGGAAGAGGAAGUGGGAGCAACUAAGCUACUAGUUUUAGGCUUUGGACUUUAAAAACCAACAAAGCCGCUCCCUCUGGUAGGAGCAGCACUUUGCAGCAACUCUCGGGGACAGUUGGCCGAACUCUGGAAGUCCCUGGGGCCGAACCCCCUUCGGUGGCCGCUGUAACUCUGAGAUCUAUGGUACCCGGAAAAGCGUGGGGAUACAGGACGCAGGCAGCAGCCAAUGACGGAGCAGGACGAGGCAUUUGUGGGCAUGCGUGGCGCGUGGGGGUGGGAUUUCCGGCCUCUUCAUGGCGAACGAUUUUGGCCUCAGGUUUGUUUACCCUCAGAGGUUGGAGAGCCCACCUUUGGAUCUUGGUGACAAAGUGACACCUAGCGAAGGAAGGCGCUGUCCUUUCGCACAGACUGGGACCCUUGAGUGCCCGACGCCGUCCGGGCAGCUCCGCGCUCGCUGGACCUACAGAGUCCCAUGGCGGCGGCCUCGACUAGGAACCCGGCUGAGGGUGGUGUGACCUUUGAGGACAUUGCCAUCUACUUCUCCUGGAAGGAAUGGAGACUUCUUGAUGAGGCUCAGAGACGGCUGUACUAUGAUGUGAUGCUGGAGAACUUUACACUUAUAUCCUCCCUGGGUUGCUGCUGUGGAGCAGAAGAUGCGGAGGCACCCCUUGAACAGAGCGUUUCUGUAGGUGUAUCACAGGCCAGCACGCCCAAGGCAGCUCUGUCUUCCCGGAAGACCCACCCCUGUGAGAUGUGCGGUCCGG